CCUACGGGAGGCAGCAGUGGGGAAUAUUGCACAAUGGGCGAAAGCCUGAUGCAGCAACGCCGCGUGAGCGAUGAAGGUCUUCGGGUCGUAAAGCUCUGUACUAAGGGAAGAAUACUGACGGUACCUUAGGAGGAAGCCUCGUCUAACUACGUUCCAGCAGCCGCGGUAAUACGUAGGGGGCUAGCGUUAUCCGGAAUUACUGGGCGUAAACGGUUCUUAGGCGGCCCUUCAAGUCCGUGGUGAAAGGCUACGGCUCAACCGUAGUAAGCCUUUGACACUGUAGGGCUUGAUGGCAGGAGAGGGGAGUGCCAUACCUAGUCUAGCGGUGAAAUGCGUAGAUAUUGGGAGGAACACCAGUUGCGCAGGCGGAUGUCUGGACUGUAACGGACGCUGAGGCACGAAAGCGUGGGGAGCGAACAGGAUUAGAUACCCUUGUAGUC
rnacentral:rRNA from 1 species